GACGAACGCUGGCGGCGUGCCUAAUACAUGCAAGUCGAACGCUUUUUCUUUCACCGGAGCUUGCUCCAUCGAAAGAAAAAGAGUGGCGAACGGGUGAGUAACACGUGGGUAACCUGCCCAUCAGAAGGGGAUAACACUUGGAAACAGGUGCUAAUACCGUAUAACACUAUUUUCCGCAUGGAAGAAAGUUGAAAGGCGCUUUUGCGUCACUGAUGGAUGGACCCGCGGUGCAUUAGCUAGUUGGUGAGGUAACGGCUCACCAAGGCAACGAUGCAUAGCCGACCUGAGAGGGUGAUCGGCCACACUGGGACUGAGACACGGCCCAGACACCUACGGGUGGCAG
rnacentral:rRNA from 1 species